CUAUCAUACCAGUCAAAUUAACUGGUUUUACAAUUUUGUUUUCAAAUUCCUACUUCGUGUUAUAUUUUCUUUCGCAAUGGUGUAAUGACUUUCGCAAUGAUAACUAAAAGAAUAAUAUAAUGAAUUUUAAUUUAUUUUUUAUGUAUUCAAACUGAAAAUAAUUUCGUAUCAAGGCUACUUAUACCAAUACCAGUCGAAAUGAUUGGUAUUUCUCAAAGUGUACAAGGGUGCUGCUAUCUGUUUAUCGAAUUCCAAUUAACCAGUUUCUUCGUUUUGUACAACUUGCCACAAGUUUUUAAAAUUUUUACUGCGUAUCAUUCAAUAUGACGAUAUCAGUUAUCAGGAAAAUUCCGGAUCGAUCGCUAGAUCGCUAGAUGCUAACAGUAGAAAUACCAGAGCAGUCAAAAUGACUGGUUCUACAAUUUUAUAAAUAUGUCAACCCUCAUUUAGGGAUCCAGAUGGAUUAAUAAUACCAAAAAUGUACUACAUAACAUGGAAUUCCUUCUGUAAGAAAGUAACAAAUCAAUAAA
rnacentral:misc_RNA from 1 species